rnacentral:rRNA from 1 species
UACGAAGGGGCUAGCGUUGUUCGGAAUCACUGGGCGUAAAGCGCUCGUAGGCGGAUCUUUAAGUCAGGGGUGAAAUCCCGAGGCUCAACCUCGGAACUGCCUUUGAUACUGGGGAUCUCGAGUCCGGGAGAGGUGAGUGGAACUGCGAGUGUAGAGGUGAAAUUCGUAGAUAUUCGCAAGAACACCGGUGGCGAAGGCGCUGCUCUGGGCCGAAACUGGACGCUGAGGAGCGAAAGCGUGGGUAGCAA